AAUUCCAGCUCCAAUAGUGUAUAUUAGAGUUGUUGCAGUUAAAAAGCUCGUAGUUGGAUUUCUGUCGUGGUCAUCCGGCGCCGCCCGUAUGGGUGCGCACCUGGUUUGCCCGCGGCUUUCUUCCGGUUAUCCUUCCGCGCUUAAUUGCGUGUGUUGGUGUUCCGGAACUUUUACUUUGAGAAAAAUAGAGUGUUUCAAGCAGGCUUGUCGCCCUGAAUACUUCAGCAUGGAAUAAUAAGAUAGGACCUUGGUUCUAUUUUGUUGGUUUCUAGGACCAAGGUAAUGGUUAAUAGGGACAGUUGGGGGCAUUCGUAUUUAACUGUCAGAGGUGAAAUUCUUAGAUUUGUUAAAGACGAACUACUGCGAAAGCAUUUGCCAAGGAUGUUUUCAUUAAUCAAGAACGACAGUAGGGGGUUUGAAGACGAUUAGAUACCGUCGUAAUCUCUACCAUAAACUAUGCCGACUAGAGAUAGGGAAACGCCUACCUUGGCUUCUCCUG
rnacentral:rRNA from 1 species